GCCAUGUUACAUCAUCUUAGCCAAUCAUCAUUCUUUUGAUCGAUACGUGGUAUAAACAGAUCUACCAUCCAAUAGAUUUUGUUAGCGGUCACUAUUCCUGACCUACUAGACCUCAACCCAUCUUUUGUAUUUUGGUGUAUUACUCUACUUCCAUUACCUAGAGUAGACCCUCUACCUAGCACUUCUAAUGCUACCCCAUGGCUAUUACUUGGCC
rnacentral:lncRNA from 1 species